GCGCCCGUAGCUCAGUGGAUAGAGUAUUGGCCUCCGAAGCCAAGGGUCGUGGGUUCGAAUCCCGCCGGGCGCGCCA
rnacentral:tRNA from 1 species